UGAGAGUUAUAGUUGAGGGUUGAUUUACCGGUGAGGGGGAAGAGUGAAGAUGGAGGCUUGCACGAAGAUGAGGAAGGAUGAGGAAGAAUCCUCUUCUUCCUUUUCACUUUAUUUUUCCUUUUCCGCUUUUUCCAGAGAGAGAGAGAGAGAGAGAGUAGACUAGUGGGUUUUUCGUCUCCUCCUCUUCCUCUUCUUUUUUUUCUUUUUUCUUUUAAUGAGAGAGAGAGAGAGUCUAUCUUUUAUUGAGAAAAGUGGGAGCCUUUUUUAUUUUCUUCCUUUUCUAUUUUGGAAAAUGGUGAUGCAAGGGUGCAUGGGCACGCACAGACCCAUGAAAUGAUUGCUUGAGGUCCACAAAUGAAUAUUGG
rnacentral:lncRNA from 1 species